rnacentral:misc_RNA from 1 species
GAUGAAGAACGUAGCGAAAUGCGAUACGUAAUGUGAAUUGCAGAAUUCAGUGAAUCAUCAAGUCUUUGAACGCACAUUGCGCCCCCUGGUAUUCCGGGGGGCAUGCCUGUCCGAGCGUCAUUGCUGCCCUCAAGCACGGCUUGUGUGUUGGGCCCCGUCCUCCGAUCCCGGGGGACGGGCCCGAAAGGCAGCGGCGGCACCGCGUCCGGUCCUCGAGCGUAUGGGGCUUUGUCACCCGCUCUGUAGGCCCGGCCGGCGCUUGCCGAUCAACCCAAAUUUUUAUCCAGGUUGACCUCGGAUCAGGUAGGGAUACCCGCUGAACUUAAGCAUAUCAAUAAGCGGAGGA